CUUCGUUUCAUUAAAUUCCUUUACUAUUAUUCAAUAUUUUAAGCAUUCACCCUCAACAUAAAAUGCAGAGCUCAACUCCAUGGUAAGAAUGAGAUAUACUGAUGCCAAACAUAAUAAAAGGAACAAAAUUUACACACUUUCCAAUAAUAUUAGAAUCUCCCUCCUCACUACUAAUCAAACCAGCCCCUUUCUUUUCGAAUUCCCUUUAUCAAUCCUUUUCCCUUGUGGAAUGUUACAUUUGAUAAAAUCUCGACGUCUCCUUUUGCACUUAUUCGAGCUAGCAUUUCAAAUAGGCUUGAUAAAUCUUCGGCGUCUUCCUUGGCAGCAGGACUCACUGCUUGAUUCUACUAGUACGACCAUGUAUAGCAUUCCUUUCUCCCAUUAUAAGAUGCAAAACAACCACAUAAAACAAAUGUCAAUACUACGCGAACUAAGAAGAUCGAGAAUAAUUCAUGUUCAAUGCUAAAGUUUUCAAAACUUAAAAUCACAACACCUACAAAAGUCAUUAGGUAUAUCCUCCUAAAGAACCAAAACCAUCCCCACAGUUCGUCCUAAACACUUUGCUGCAGUAGAGAACAAAGCAAUAAGAUGCAUAUCUUCUUCUAUUAAUCUCACCAACGCCACCCCCCUUUUCAGGCUCACUGCUUUAAUUCUCAAACAAGCAAAUUCUUGACUAAAAAGGCUUGUCAUUCAUCAACUCCACCUCCUAAAUAAAUGACCAUUCACACAAAUUUCAAUUGCACAUCUAUAAUUAUGUUAUAUCAUCUAGGUCUGAAUUUUUAUAACAUAAUCAAUUCCCCCAUUACCUUUAAAAACUUGACGGAGAUGUGUUCUUCAGUGGUGGUUUGGUGUCGGACGAAGAAGGAGAACUAUAAUGGUGCUUUCGUGACAGGGGAGGUGAAAAAUAGGGCUCACUUCCUUUAAAUCUCGGCAAGAAUGUUUGGGUAAUGCUUCUGUGGUACCUUCUUCACUUGUUUCGAGCCGGUCAUAGGUGGAGAUGAGUUCGGCGAUUUUGUCUCGACAUUAUGAAUGGAGGCGAUGGCUUUGGAGAAGGUGUCCAAGGUUUGAACUGAAUAGGUGAAAGGGACGAGAAUUUUCAUGCCUCUCCAACGCUGGAAGUUGAAGGUAUAUGGUCGGGCAACAUGUGAUAAAUGAGACAAAACACAUUGUUUUUGCAAUUUCCACUGAAAGACGCCAGAGUUGUUCUCGUGCAAAAUGGGUUCUCCAAUUUGGGGGAGUUAUACACGAGUUGAACAAAUGGUUCCUUU
rnacentral:lncRNA from 1 species